rnacentral:rRNA from 1 species
UACGGGGGGUGCGAGCGUUGUCCGGAAUCACUGGGCGUAAAGCGCGCGUAGGCGGAUCGCUAAGUCAGGGGUGAAAUCCCAGGGCUCAACCCUGGAACUGCCUUUGAUACUGACGAUCUGGAGAUCGGGAGAGGUUGGUGGAAUUCCGAGUGUAGAGGUGAAAUUCGUAGAUAUUCGGAGGAACACCAGAAGCGAAGGCGGCCAACUGGCCCGAUACUGACGCUGAGGCGCGAAAGCGUGGGGAGCAAACAGG